AGAGUUUGAUCCUGGCUCAGGACGAACGCUGGCGGCGUGCCUAAUACAUGCAAGUCGAGCGGAAAUUUUAUUGGUGCUUGCACCUUUAAAAUUUUAGCGGCGGACGGGUGAGUAACACGUGGGUAACCUACCUUAUAGAUUGGGAUAACUCCGGGAAACCGGGGCUAAUACCGAAUAAUACUUUUUGACACAUGUUUGAAAGUUGAAAGACGGUUUUGCUGUCACUAUAAGAUGGACCCGCGGCGCAUUAGCUAGUUGGUGAGGUAACGGCUCACCAAGGCAACGAUGCGUAGCCGACCUGAGAGGGUGAUCGGCCACACUGGGACUGAGACACGGCCCAGACUCCUACGGGAGGCAGCAGUAGGGAAUCUUCCACAAUGGACGAAAGUCUGAUGGAGCAACGCCGCGUGAGUGAAGAAGGAUUUCGGUUCGUAAAACUCUGUUGCAAGGGAAGAACAAGUAGCGUAGUAACUGGCGCUACCUUGACGGUACCUUGUUAGAAAGCCACGGCUAACUACGUGCCAGCAGCCGCGGUAAUACGUAGGUGGCAAGCGUUGUCCGGAAUUAUUGGGCGUAAAGCGCGCGCAGGUGGUUCCUUAAGUCUGAUGUGAAAGCCCCCGGCUCAACCGGGGAGGGUCAUUGGAAACUGGGGAACUUGAGUGCAGAAGAGGAUAGUGGAAUUCCAAGUGUAGCGGUGAAAUGCGUAGAGAUGUGGAGGAACACCAGUGGCGAAGGCGACUCUUUGGCCUGUAACUGACACUGAGGCGCGAAAGCGUGGGGAGCAAACAGGAUUAGAUACCCUGUAGUCCACGCCGUAAACGAUGAAUGCUAGGUGUUAGGGGUUUCGAUACCCUUGGUGCCGAAGUUAACACAUUAAGCAUUCCGCCUGGGGAGUACGGUCGCAAGACUGAAACUCAAGGAAUUGACGGA
rnacentral:rRNA from 1 species